UCUCCAGAGGUUGAUUCCCACCUUUAAGAGGUUUCGGGAUCAAUAACAUCUUGGAUUGUGCGUGUCUAGCGAUUGUAAUAAUAAUUUGAACUUACAAUAACUUCUGAGUUUCCUAUUGAAAGCUGUAUGCGCAAUUCUAC